GCAGCUGGAUGGGGACGGAAAGUCAGAGCCUUGGAUGCUCCUCCCAGCCGCCCACUUAACCUCUCGAUGCCUCAUUAUUUCCCUCUAGAAAAUACUUUCACUAUUUGUCCUUGAAUUAAGCAGUGAAGAAGACAACUUUCAACAUUUAAAGUGAGAACUCUGACACAUCCAGAUUUUGUAAGCUGCAUAGAAUGAAUUUCACAGGAUGCAUCCAAUUCAUGGGCUCUUACAAGAUUGUAUCAAUACCUACAGCUCUGACCUCUGGGUUGAAAAUUUUGAAGAAGCAGUUACUGGGUCCAGAGGUUCUCUUGUUCACAUCUGACUCUCCUCUGAAGUAUGGAUUAAGACCCACAUUAUCCCUCUGCCUGACUGAUUCUGUCGACUAUGAGACAAGAUGCUAUGACAGGAAGUACUCGGGCUUGAAGUUAACUGCACUACAGGUUAAAUCUUGAAAUCCUGACUCAGUAGCAUUUUGUCUUUGCCUCCUUUGCCAAGUUUUCUAGCUUCAUAAAAAUGUCACUUCCCCCAUCUCCCAAAGGCAUGGAAAAACUGAAAUUACAUGUAUAAUAUCAGAUAACAUAUCUGGGUAGACUUGCAGUUGGUGCUCAUUAAAUGUGAAUUCCUCACUGUUUACAUGCACACCUCAUUUUAUUGCAUCUCACCUUAUUGUGCUUUGCAGAUAUAGCAUGUUUUUUACAAACUGAAGGUUUGUGGCAGCCUUGCACUGAGCAAGUCCAUCAGUGCCAUUUUUCCAAAAGCGUGUGCUCAUUCUGUGCCUUAGUGUCAGCAUUUUUAACAAUAAAUUAUCUUUUAAUCAAGGUGUGUACUUUUCUAGAUAUAAUGCUGUUGCACACUUAAUCGACUUCAGUAUAAAAUAAACAUAACUUUCAUAUGUACUGGGAAACCAAAAAACUUGUGUGACUCCUUUUAUUGUGAUAUUUGCUUUAUUGCAGUGAUCUGGAAGCAAACCUAUAGUACCCUGAGGUCUGCCUCUCAGUGCAGAGCUUACAGAUGCAACUUCUUUUCCUCUCCACUUCCUCUAUGAAAGAAAUGCAGAAUGUUUGUCUUCUAUGCCACUUACUAUAGGAAUCAGGCACUUAAUAAAAACUGCUAAUCAACAGGAUGGAAAAAUUAACUAAUAGAUCCCUUCACAGACACUUGCAAAAUUUUAAAUGAUGGCCAAAAUUUUAAAUGAUGGCCUUGGGAGGCAGAGGGCAAAAAACUGAAGUUUCUCUUAUUGGGGAAAGUUUCUUCUUCUUCUUCCUCUAGUAAUAAUAAUAUAAUUAAUUAGCUUGGAAACUUCUUUUAAAAAGCUUCCAUACACACUGAUGAGAAAAAAAUAAGUUUACUAGGAAUAAAACAGGGUCCAGAAAUAGGAAAGUAUUUAUUUGAAUGGUUUCAUUCCCCACCCCAGGGAGGGUAUCUGUCAUGCAGGAUUGGUCUAGAUAAGUAAGCUAAAGGUUGAAGUGAGUUCAAAAGAGCUGAACCAGGCUGGAAACACAAACCCAAGCUGUGAACAUCACCUGGAGGAGCUCAAAGCACUUCAGUUCUGGUUCUCUUUCUAGACUUUAGAAGAACAGAGGUCACGAAAUUUAUUAUUGGCAAGACUAUAAAUGUCUAAUAAAAAUAACUUGAUUAUGAGCUUUUUGAAAAAAAAAAAUUCGGUUUUACACAAAUGCCUAAGCAGAGAGUCUUAGAUUUUUUUCUUACUUUGAACAUACUCCCCCAUUUUCCUGGCAAUAUAUUUCCAUGCUUCUUCAAAAAGCCAUUCAAGAGUACUUUAAGUAACAGUUUUAAACCUCCCCCUGUUAAAAAAAAAAUAUAUAUAUAUAUAUAUAUAUAUAUUUGCUUAAGAGAAAUGAGAUUGCUUUCUGCCUCCUGUAACAAUUGGUAAUGAUGUUUAACAACAGAAACCAAAUGGAAGUGCUCAGUCUAAAUUCUGCACAGCUAUGUCAACAACAAAAUUCCUAAGAAUUUCUUCCUCAUUGUCCCAAUGAGGCAGCAGCAGGUUCAGAUACCGGGUGGGCUUUUUGGACACCACCCGCCCCUGGCAAUUUACAGCUAGCAAAGAGUUAUAGAUGGAGUGACAGCUGCCCAAGCCAACAUGGUCACACAGGACAGGGCAGCUUUCCUAUCCCUGACUGGGCCUCGACCUCAUGGACAGGAGUGACAUUACAGAAUUUGCAAGGUCUCCAAAUAGCCCUUCUCCUCCAGGUCACCUUGUCAUCUUUUUUGCUUGUGCCAAAGUCCUUCCCAGAUGUCUAUGCAACGGAAGUAAAAUUUAUACUCACGCAGCCUUAAAAUGCUGACAUUCCAUGUUUACAAGGAUUGUUUACUCAGAAAAUUAAUCAGUUACGGUUUUAAAUUUUAAUUAAAGAAUGUUUUCCGGUGUUAUUGCAAAACAGACAAAAGCCCAUAAAAUGUAUGUUUGACUGCUGUUGUGUGUUGUCUUUGGAUCAAGGCACAGUCUUGAGAUCAAUCAUGCAUGAUAUUUUUGUGAACUUUUAACAGAACAACCUUUCACAUAAAUUUGGUUCAUUAAAAAAUAUCCAUCAAAAUAAAAGUCAUUCUGAGAAA